UGGAGCCGACGGUCCGAUCCGGUAGUAGGUGAGUGAUGGGGUGACGCAGGAAGGUAGUCCAGCCCGGGCGGUGGUUGUCCCGGGGUAAGGGUGUAGCCCGGGGGGUAGGUAAAUCCGCCCCUCGUUACAUGGGUGAGACCUGAUGCCGAGCCGUUGUGGUGAAGUGGAUGAUCCUAUGCUGUCGAGAAAAGCCUCUAGCGAGUUGCAUGGCGGCCCGUACCCUAAACCGACUCAGGUGGUCUGGUAGAGAAUACCGAGGCGUUCGGGUGAACUGUGGUUAAGGAACUCGGCAAAAUGCCCCCGUAACUUCGGGAGAAGGGGGGCCAUGUCCGGUGAUCGCCCGUGCGGUGUGAGCUGGGUGUGGCCGCAGAGACCAGCGAGAAGCGACUGUUUACUAAAAACACAGGUCCGUGCGAAGCCGUAAGGCGAGGUAUACGGACUGACGCCUGCCCGGUGCUGGAACGUUAAGGGGACCGGUUAGCUCACUUUCGGGUGGGCGAGGCUGAGAACUUAAGCGCCAGUAAACGGCGGUGGUAACUAUAACCAUCCUAAGGUAGCGAAAUUCCUUGUCGGGUAAGUUCCGACCUGCACGAAUGGCGUAACGACUUCUCGACUGUCUCAACCACAGGCCCGGUGAAAUUGCACUACGAGUAAAGAUGCUCGUUUCGCGCAGCAGGACGGAAAGACCCCGGGACCUUUACUACAGCUUGAUAUUGGUGUUCGGUUCGGCUUGUGUAGGAUAGGUGGGAGCCGGUGAAGCAUGCACGCCAGUGUGUGUGGAGGCGUUGUUGAAAUACCACUCUGGUCGUGCUGGAUGUCUAACCUGGGUCCGUGAUCCGGAUCGGGGACAGUGUCUGGUGGGUAGUUUAACUGGGGCGGUUGCCUCCUAAAGGGUAACGGAGGCGCCCAAAGGUUCCCUCAGCCUGGUUGGUCAUCAGGUGGUGAGUGUAAGUGCACAAGGGAGCUUGACUGUGAGACUGACGGGUCGAGCAGGUGCGAAAGCAGGGACUAGUGAUCCGGCGGUUACGUGUGGAAGUGCCGUCGCUCAACGGAUAAAAGGUACCCCGGGGAUAACAGGCUGAUCUUCCCCAAGAGUCCAUAUCGACGGGAUGGUUUGGCACCUCGAUGUCGGCUCGUCGCAUCCUGGGGCUGGAGUCGGUCCCAAGGGUUGGGCUGUUCGCCCAUUAAAGCGGUACGCGAGCUGGGUUUAGAACGUCGUGAGACAGUUCGGUCCCUAUCCGCUGCGCGCGCAGGAGUCUUGAGAAGGGCUGUCCCUAGUACGAGAGGACCGGGACGGACGGACCUCUGGUGUGCCAGUUGUUCUGCCAAGGGCAUGGCUGGUUGGCUACGUUCGGGAGGGAUAACCGCUGAAGGCAUCUAAGCGGGAAGCCUGCUUCGAGAUGAGGACUCCCACCCCGUGAAGGGGGUAAGGCUCCCGGGAGACGACCGGGUUGAUAGGCCAGAUAUGGAAGCCCUGUGAGGGGUGGAGUUGACUGGUACUAAUAGGCCGAGGACUUGUCCAU
rnacentral:rRNA from 2 species